rnacentral:rRNA from 1 species
UACGUAGGGACCAAGCGUUGUUCGGAUUUACUGGGCGUAAAGGGCGCGUAGGCGGCGUGGUAAGUCACUUGUGAAAUCUCUGAGCUUAACUCAGAACGGCCAAGUGAAACUGUUGUGCUAGAGUGCAGAAGGGGCAAUCGGAAUUCUUGGUGUAGCGGUGAAAUGCGUAGAUAUCAAGAGGAACACCUGAGGUGAAGACGGGUUGCUGGGCUGACACUGACGCUGAGGCGCGAAGGCCAGGGGAGCAAACGGG